CCAGUUAUCUCUUCUCCUCCAUCUUUCUCUCUCUUGUCUAACCUCACCUCCUUCCCUCCAUCUUUUUCUCUUAAUUUCACGUCCACGCGGUUUCCUCCAACUUUCGUCAAUUGGACAAGAAAUGGGAUAGGGAUAGAAAUAGGAAGCACCUACCAAGAAAUACAAAAUUUAAGAGAUGCUAUCAGGACUACGUUUGAUAACAUUUUAAUAAUAAAUGGCAGCUUCCUUCCCGGUAACUACACCUGCUCCAUUAGCAAUACUCAAGGAUACACUGAAGCUUCUUUUGUAGUCAGAGCUCCAGAUAGUCCUCCGUCUAAUCUCACUGCUAGCUUCUUAGGAGCAGGUGAUGUGAGAGUAUCAUGGACCCCGCCCACUGGUGAUAUUGACGGAUACCAGCUGUAUUAUCAGGAGUCUGGGGGGUCUGAUGCAGGAUUGAUUAAUAUUACAGGAACCAAUGAGAGUGCUGUGUUGAGGUCGUUAGUGGGUGGGGCUAGUUAUAAUAUAUAUGUGAUAGCGUAUGCUCAUAUUCCAAGUGAGAGCAGCGAGACACUCACUAUUACUCUCAAUGGUAAUUAAUAACAAUAAAAUAAUAAUCUCAAUAUUUUAUAAUAACAGUUUAUACAAGUACAGGAGUGUUAACCACAAUGUAGUGCGACCCACAAUAGCUUUUACAAAUAUCAGUGUAUAAAAAUGAGACUUUGAAGGCUUGAGUACUAGGACAGAAUUGAAGAAGUUUAACAAAUUUUUGGAAUGGGGUCAUCCCCUG